GAAGCUAUUUCUUAUCAUAAAAUUCCGGACCCCAUUGCUUCAGUUAAAAAAUCUGUCAAAGCUUCUUGUAUGGGAGAUGAGCAGAAGAGGCCCCCAAAAUGAAAAAUGAAUACCAAACAAGUUGGAUCAGAUAUUUACAUUACAGAGCAAAGCUAAUAAUGGAAUAUGCAACCAAACAAGCUUCCAUACAGAAUUUGACUAUCCCACAAUGGUGCAACCAGAGAGAAGCUUUUCAUAAAUAACUUGCCAUCACUCCAACGGCAAAGCAAGAAAAGACCAUAAAAUAACUCAGAUUCAUCACAGACAAGCACAGUUGUUGACGAUUUAACACCAAAAACCAUAUCAAAUCAAGGCAUCAGUUUAUCAAUAAGGAAGUAAAUCAUGCAAACUUUAAUCUCUUGUAUGACAUCCAUAGGCACUACUGACAUGACUGAAAGUAGAAGUCUAGGUUUGUAUGGCAUUAUUUAACAGAAACCAUGCAAGCCCUACUCAGAUAGGGUAGAUUUCAGCUCUCCAUUGUUUCGGAGCUCCAUUACAAUAUCACAACCACCAACAAGCUCGCCUUUGUAAUAAAGCUGGGGAAAUGUUGGCCAGUUUGAGAACACCUUUAGUCCCUGCCUCACUUCUUCAUCAGAUAAAAUAUCGAAGGACCCAAAACUUACACCCUCCUCCCUUAAGGCAUUUACAACUUUCGAACUAAAACCACAUCUGGGAGCAUCUGGGCUACCUUUCAUGAAAAGCAUUACUGGUGAAGAAGCAAUCAAACUCCUUAGACGAUCUUCGAGAGUCUCUUUUGAAACAAUCCCCUUCUCAACCAAAAGCCUUUUAAGCUCUCCACUUUUCUGCAUCUCCAGGACAAUGUCUGAUCCACCAAUCAGUUCACCUUUAAUAUAUAGUUGAGGGAAACUCGACCAAUUUGAAUAAACUUUAAGACCUUGUCGAACUUCAUCAUCGGAAAGAAUGUUGAAACUCUCAAAAUUGACCUUUUCUUCUUUAAGGAUUUCAACUACCUUCCCACUGAAACCGCACUUGGGUUCAUCAGGAUUUCCUUUCAUGAACAACAUAACUGGGCUUGAAUUAAUCAGGCUUUUAAGACGGGAUGUCAAGGUUGCACUUAAGCCAGUGGAUUCUGAGACUCCACCCUUUCCACUUCCACUGUCACUCUGUUUCUGCUCAUCAGAAUGAUUAGCAUCAAUUCCAUGAUCUCUGAAAACAUCUUUUAGUUCACCACUUUCAUGCAUUGCAAUUGCUAUGUCAGAUCCUCCAAGUAGCUCUCCUUUGCAAUAGAGCUGAGGAAAAGUUGGCCAGUUAGAAAACUUCUUCAACCCCUCACGUACCUCAUUAUCAGAUAGGAUGUCAAAACUUCCAAAUUUCACAUUUUCAUCCUUCAAAAUAUCUACAACUUUCCGGCUAAACCCACAUCUAGGUGCUUCAGGACUCCCCUUCAUAAAUAGCAUCACUGGAUGGGAGUUGAUCAGCUGUUGCAGUUGCUUCACUAAUGCAUCACUGAGGCCAGGUUGAACUUGAUUUGCCACUUGGGAAGAGCCAUUUUCUUUUGCCAACUCUUUAACUGUUUCAAGAACACUGGGUCCAGCUGCCAUUCCAAGGCUGGCAGGGGCUGCAGGUUCUCCAGGAUUAACAGAUCCAGCUACUUUAGCAAUUUUGUUGGCCAAACUGGAGGGAUCUGCACCUUCCAAUACGUCAACUUUCUUGCCAUUCUUGAAGAAAACAAAGAAAGGCACAGCAGAAACAGAAUAUUCCUCCGAUAUCUCUGGUAGCUCCUCAGCCUCCACCUACAACACCCAUCAUCAAUUCAAAAUCCUAACAAAAUAAAAAGAAUUAUAUACAGUAGCUGCAUGUAUACACAUAUUUUCGGUAGAGAGAGAGUGACAAAGAAAGAACCCUGAGGAAGUGGGCGUUGGGGAAAUCGGUGGAGAGGUGGGAGAAGACUUGGUCCAUGUGCUUGGAGGCGUCGCACCAUGAAGCCCAGAAGUGAACGAUUACCGGUGCGCCACUGCUGCGCAAGUCAUCCAGCUCCGACUUAGAUUGCACUUCCUUCACUGAACCCCCCAUUAUUCUCUGUGGUUCGUUCUCUCACUUCUCUGGAAUACCCUUACCCUACUCUCAAAACCACUCUCUCGAGAAAGAGAAACAGGUUUCUCUCUUUUCCUUUCAUCGUGCGGUGGUUUCUUUUUGUUGAGGAAUCAUAGGACCUCUUGUGACACACAGAACAUCAGC
rnacentral:misc_RNA from 1 species